AGAAGGCACAGCCUUGUUCUGUAGAGGGAGGGUGGUGACAGGGCCACAGAGCUCCACAGAUGAUCCCCUCCUGACAAUUCAUGGGUGAUUUCCUGAGACAGAAUUGCAGACAUGGCACUGCCAGUUUCAGUAGUGGAAGACGUAACUUUGAUCAUGGAUUCUAUUAUGGGAGGAAUUCAGACAAGGUACAGUGGGGGUGACUCAUCUCUGAGGGGCUGCCUCAAACAGGUAGAGAAUGGAACAGCAGGGCCUGGCUCUUCACUUUUCACCCGAUGGCUUUUCCCUCACAUGCCCGGCACCUGGACUGAGUCAACUCAAGCCAGCGCUUAGUUGGGAGGGUUGACCAGAAACCAAAACGUGCUUUCACCCUAGGAUUUGCACUUCCCAUGGAAUGGACGCUGGCUACCUACAGACUGCAACCCAAGGGGGAGCACCCGAUAAACAUGUGAGCUGCAGAAACCAGGUGGAAGCUGUAGAGACUAAAAUGGCUACACAGCAUCACUACUGCCAGGAAGACACAGCCAUCCCUGAUUCAAGGGGAGGGCACUUAGAACCCCAUAUUUGAUGUGCUGGAUGGCCAAGAAUCAGUGAGCACUUUUUAAAGUUGCCACUUGCAGCUGCACUCACUAGAUUGUCCCUCCACGGCUUAAUAUCACAAUGAAUGAAAGCAUGUGUCAGCGUUCCUGGAAAAAAAAAAAAAAGGUUUCCAAAAUGCACAGCACUUCUCCAAUAUCUUCAGGAGCUCGGCAGAGAACUGUGCAGGCACAAAGGAAUGCCAGAUCACAGAUAUUAUUGAUUACUCUAGGAGGGUCAACCUAAGAUUAGCUGUCAUCCAGUCCCUUGGAAUGCUGAGUAGCUCAGCGAUUACCCGUAAGAAGACAGACAACAGACAGUCAACUGUGGUAUGUUUUGUUGUUAAGAAGGAGGAAAACGAGAAUAUUGAUUGGUUCAUUCAGCUCAAGUGGCUAUUGUUCACCUUGAAGAUACACAUUUCACAAAGACAUUUUCUCACCCUCACCUGCUAAGGAGGUCACUAUGGACAAAGGCCCUUGAUUUAUAGGGUCCCCGCGGAUGGAAGCUUUCCCCCUAUCAGCGGGUCUCCACUGAAUCAGCGGCAGGAGUCCUGGAUGAUCCCCUGGUCGCGCGGCCUCUCCCCUGCUCCUUCCCGACCCGCGCCGCAGCGAUCGCAGACUCUAGGGGAGGGAGCGAUGUUCUCUCCUACCGUUCCAGCGCCUCCAAAGGGAAAAUAAACAACCAUGUUCAACCAACUGCUCUCGUCUUUGAAACAACUGUCUUGUCCAUUUGGUGUGUCUCACUAAAGCAAUCUUCAAAAUAGUCAACAUGUGGAAGCAACCCGAGUGUCCACCAAUGGAUGAAUGAGAAACAGGAUGUGAGAUACAUCCCAUGGAAUAGUAUUCAGCCUUACAAUGGAGAAUAUUCUGACCCAGGCUACAACAAGGAUGGACCUGGUAAAUGUGAUGCUCAGUGAAAUAAGCCAGUCACAAAAAGACAGAUACUGUAUGAUUCCAUUUACAUGAAGUCCCUGGAGGAGUCAAGUUCAUAGAGACAGAAAAGACAACGGUGGUUGCCAGGGGCUGGGAGAGGGGAAAGGGGAGUUAGUGCCGACAGAGUUUCAGUAUUGCAAGAUGAAAAGAGUUCUCGAGAUUGGUUGCACAGCAGUGUGAAUGUACUUAUCACCAUUGAACUUAAAAAAUGGUUACGACUGGCUGGACCCAUGGCCAAGUGAUUAAGUUCACCUGCUUCGAUUUGGGUGCCCGGGGUUUCACCAUUUCGCAUCCUCGGCUUGGACUGGCACGGCUCAUCAGGCCAUGCUGAAGCUGCAUCCCUCAUAGCAGAACCAGAAGGAUCUACAACUAGCAUAUAUAACUAUGACCUGGGGGGCUUUGGGAAGAAGAAGAAUAAUAGAAAAAAGAUUGGCAACAGAUGUUAGUAAAGAUGCCAAUCUUUAAAAAAAAUGGUUAAGAUGGUAAACAAGUUCCAUGUAUUUUAACAAAAUUAACAAUUUUUUUAAAAAGGCAUCAGAGUUACUAGUCCCUCUUUCUGAAAUCAUUUAUGCUUAUACUCCUUCCUCCGUUUGAGAUCUCUACUUAAAUGCCCUCCACCACCCUCUGCCUGGACCAUGUGCUAUGUUUCCUUAUAACUGUCAUCAACACCUGCAAUCUUCUAGGUUGUGAGUUCAUUGGCUUAUUUCCUGUCUCCCUACUUGGGAACAGAAGCUCUGUGGACCAGUACCUGAGUGGGUCACUGCUUUCUCUGCUACAGGCCAGAAUAAUGGCCUUCCUCGGGCCUGGACUCAAUAGGGAGCUACUGAAGGCACAGCAACCUUUGGGUUAGCACUUGGGAAACUCCAGGCUUUCUGGACAGCACACAUGAGGGUAAAUGACUGCAGUGCUUGCUGCUAUAAUUUCCAAUAAUUAAUUUAUAGAAAUCUGAAGACACCCCUUCGUCCCAAAGAGAAGGGACUAGUCUCCUAACACUGUUACCAGAUGGCCACAGUUUGGACAGGGUUAUCAAGUGGGGUCCUUGAGUGCACAUGUAUCCUGCUAGGAAGGAUUUAAAAAGGAGCUCUCAUACAUUUCCACUCUGAUAUCUUUCUGCUCAUAGUAGCUCUUUCUUCAAUUGUGGGACUAGCUAAUAUUGAACCAUACCUCAGGGGCAGGGGGGAAGCAACCCAGAAUUCAUUGAAAUAAGUGUUGUGAUAAAGAACAGUGCUCAGUGGCAUAUCACCACAGCAAUGCAAUGCUCAUCAUUUGCCAAAAUAAAUGCACUCAUGGAGACCCAAAUAAAGAACCGACACACACUGACUAAAUUAAAACAAAUGCAUGAAUAGUGGGAGAGACACUGGCGUCUUUCCUUCAGGCAGGAUGCUGCCCCCUCUGACACUUGCAGAAACUCUGGGAUAUCACCUCUAGUCCUGCCCUUUCACCCACUUUUAUGAGGAAAACCUGCCAUUCUUGUUUCUUGCAGUUAGAACAGCUAUCGGAUAGGGGGUCACAGAGCUUUGCCAUUUCUCUUUCCCUCUCUACGUGGAUGGAUUUGCGGGCUUUUGUGUGGCUUAAUGGGCUUACAGGAGGCACAGGGAGGAGAGAAUUUCUGGAGAGAAAACUACAGGAGGAAAGGCCAAGAGCCGUGCUGCCGCCGUUCACAUUUGGGGGUCUGAGUCUCAGUCCCUUCUGUGCCUCAGUCCAUAGAACCUCAUAUUGUCCCCUAAGAAUAUUAAGGUGGAGACUAAAAAAUACGGACAGUAAGAAUAAUAAUACCUAUUAUUACAGUGUGCAGCAACGAGCGCGUGUGACUUUGGCUAUGCAAGGCAAUGCCUAAAAUCCCCUUGGAAUGACACAGUGGGAUGUGGAAUCCAAGUGAUUACACUUCAGGAGAUUUUCCUAGGGUGCAUUCUCAAUGGGGGUGAUUUUGCCCUAAAAGGGCAAAAAAGUGGUUCUUCGUGGGUGAAAAAACUCACAUUCUUGUAUCUUCCAAGCCCAGAUAUCCAUAGUGCACAUAACCAUGUAUACAGUUAUUUGUUGUGUUAAGAUUUCAUGGAGUGGGUGCUGGUUAAAAAAACGAUUUGAAAAGGCUGCUUGGGUGGGGGUGGGGGUAUGAUGGUUAGUUUUCUGUGACAACUGGACAGGGCAGUGGAGUAACCAAGCUUCUGACAGUUGUUGCAUUGUACUAGCCUUAAAGAUGAACACCAAGUUCAUUUAACUUUGAAGAAACUGACCAUUGUAAUAUUGUCCAAAAAGACCCUUAUUUUAUAGAGUGAUUCAUUGGGUUUCUUAAAAGAUAAUAACCUGAUAAAGAUCUGUUUUCACUAGGUUCAGUAAGCACUCUUCUAUGAGCUUUCCAUAGAUAUGAAAUUACCUAAUAUUCAUAAUAAAGUCAGAGGUAUGGACAUACCCAGGACAAUCCCAGCCCUCAUCUCUAAAGGGAACUUCUAAAUGGUGUGCCCUCCAGCAAGGCCUCUCACCCACUUCUGAGCCUGGGACACAAUGAAGAUCAGAGGUUUUCUCGACAGUAUCUUGGCAUUUACAUUUGUGGUCGACAUCUCUCAAAGCCUAAGACAGAGAUCUUUGAGUCCUUCCACAAGGAACAGGGAGGAGAUGUGCUGGGGAAGAAGGUGACUUGCUUGACAAUCAUCUGGGAAAAAGUGAAGGACACGGUUUUUUCUAAGAAUGGAUGAAUAUCCAUGAGGUGCAUGUCACACGAGACAUGCAGGCUUGAUUCAAACAACCCUGCAGCCAGGUCCUGAACAUCUUUUCUAGAAGUGUGGGAAAAAUGAGUAAUGUGCCCAAGGUCUGAAAGAUCUUCAGGAUACAUCGCUGCCAACCAGGAUGCUUAUUUUCAGCGUUACAGAAUGAUCUCUUAUGAUGACUGACAAGUGGAUUCACCACAUCCACAAAUAAUAGUAUAUAAAGAGGUAAAAAUUCAGAAUUUCACCCAUAGGUAACCCCUUCUGAGCUCCUUCAGAAGAGGAAACAACUGCCAAAGAGAUGAAGAUUCUACAGUUCACCUUUGGACUUGCUCUGGUUGGCACUGACCAGAUACCUCCAUCAAAUGAAGACCUCGCAAAGGAAUCUGAGAAGAAGGUCACCUGUGUGUCUGUGUGUGCGUCUGUGUUUGUGUGUGUCCCUUUUGGGGUUGUUUUAUGUGUAUACAAAUUUAUGUGCACCUAAGCCUAGCCAUCUUCCUCCAACUCAGAAGCACUCUAUUAAUUGGCUGCUUACACAAUCCUGCUGUACUUGUCUUAUAUUGUCUCUGUAUUGUCUAUAUUAUCUAUUAAUUGGAUCCUUAUGCAUUUCAACCGUACUUGCAUAAGAUGGAGAACAAGCCAGAGAAUUGCUGGACUGGAGUUCUGCUUUGAUAACAGAACUGAAACUAUUUCAGAAAUAUCUCUAUUUCUCGUUUUACAGUUGACUUGGGUUUUUACAUUAUUUUAUAAAUCCUGCUUUGUCCAAUAAUGAUAGACAGUGCUGGUGGAAAAAGAAAGGAAAACUCAUAAUGGAUGAUGUCAGAGAAAAUAAAAAAGAAUGACUGAAAUUUCUUUUUAGUUUUCUUUUUAGUUUUCAGGAGAAUGGAAAAGGUCUUACAUAGCAUUCAGUAAUAGAGUGAAGAUCAAUGAGAAUGGACCAUUAGAGAAGUUUGUCCAUAGUGUUGAUUUUUGACACUGUAGACAGCAUUAUCAACUUGAAAUUUCUGACCAGGUAAGUAAAAAUAACACAGAAUAAAAUCACUCAUAAAUGUUCAACCCUGAGAGAAGGUCUUUGUUACUUGCAUGUUUGCACUGAAAGAUCUUGAUUAUGUUCAAGAACGUGACUCUCUGAGUUGUGUGCUUGGAAGAGUCUUUGAAGUGGUGGCGUAAGUUCCACCACCAUCCUCUAGAGAAUGUCCUGGAGAAUCUCAUGGAGAGCAAAGUGGCACGGUUGCUCUAAUGGAACCAUCUCAUUCAAAAAAGAGGGACAAAAGCAGCCAAAAGGGUAUAUUUUCCUCAAACCCUACAGAUCCUGACCACUAGCCUGAAUCUUUCAUGCGGAAUUUGUAAAACGUGGUUCACUUCUAGGGCAACUGUGUUCCAGAAGAGUGUGAGCAGGUGGAUAACGCAAAAUGAUCUCUUCCCUGAAGAACUUACUUAUAGCAAUUUUUAAUCAUUAAUAAAUUCAUUAAAGCCUUCAUUGCUUCAAGGAUUAUUUAUGGAAUGCACACCAUAUUGCAGGCAUUUUAUUAAGAAUUCAAAUGACUUAUUUCACUUAGCAUCAUACCCUCUAGAUGCAUGCAUGUUGUCACCAAUGACAGGGUUUCGUUCCUUUCCAUGGAUGACUUAUUAGUUGUUCCAUGUAUAUAUAUACCACAUAUUCUUUAUCCAUUCAUCUAUUGAUGAACACACAGGUUCUUUUCAUAUCUUAGCUAUUGGAAAAAAUGCUGCAGUGAACAUAGCAGUGCAUAUAUCUUUUGAAUUUAUGUUUUUGUUUUCUUCAGAUAAAUACCCAGAAGUGUAAUUUCUGGAAGGUAUGGCAAUUCUUUCUUUAAGUUUUGGAGAAACCUCCAUGCUGUUUUCCAUGGCGGCUGUAUCGAUUUACAUUCCCACUAAGAGUGCACGAGGGUUCUCUUUUGUCCACAUCCUCACUAACACUAGUUAUUUGUUUUCUUUUUGAUAACAGCCAUUCUGACAGGUGUGAGAAUGUGGAUUUGAUUUGCAUUUCCCUGAUGAUGAGUGACAUUGAGCAUCUUUUCAAGUGUUUGUUGGCCAUCUGUAUGCCUUCUUUGGAAAAGUGUCUAUUUAGGCCCUCGGCCCAUUUUAUAAUCAAAUUUUUGAUUUGGGGUAUUAUGUUGUAUAAGUUCUUUAUAUAUUUUGGAUAGUAACCCCUUAUCAGAUAUGACAUUUGCAGGAAUCUCCUCCCAUGCAGUUGGUUGAUUUUUUGUCUUAUUGCUGAUUUCCUUCACUGUGCAAAACUUUUUUUUUGAUAUAGCUUCAUUUGUUUAUUUUUCUUUUGUCACCCUUGCUUGAAGAGAUAUAUCCAAAGAAAUAUUGCUCAGACUGAUGUCAAAGAGCUUUACUACCUAUGUUUUAUUCUAGGCAUUUUAUGGUUUCAGGUCUUACAUUAAAUCUUGAAUCCAUUUUGAGUUUGUUUUUGUAUAUAGUGUAGGAAAGUGGUCCACAACCAUUAGUCUCUCCAACAAGGGCAAAUAUUCCAAUGUGCUUACUUAGGGUUUUUUUUAAACAUAUUCUUAAAAUUAGGAAUCUUUCAUAUAAAUACAUGUAUUUUGAAAUUUAUAUAAAGUUAUAAAUUAAAAAAAAGAAGUGAAAUGAGGAAGAGAAGAUGAAGAAACUUUUUUGGGGGGAGGCUUUCAUUGGUCAAAAUAGAGUCAGGGAUAAUGAUUUUAAACUAAUAACAAUACUGACUGUGAAAAUCGAUAAUAAUAGCAUAAAUGAUGUGGAAAGAGGGGACCAAAAAAUGAAAAAUGAUGACAGUGUGGGAGACUAAACAGUUAUACCAGAAAUAUGACAUGUGUAAGAUGCUUUUGAAGGUGGAAUGAGCCAUUUUUAUUUUAUUUUUUUAAAUAUAUUUUCAGUUCAGAGUGUUGCACUGCCUUUCACUUUUCCAUAAAUGCUAAGCAUGUUCCCAGGAAUCUAUCAGAGUUUUUUUUCUUUAAGGGAAGUCUUUUUUUUUAUUUAAGAUUGGCACCUGAGCUAAGAUCUGCUGCCAAUCUUAUUUUUUUUUCUCCUCCCCAAAGUCCCCCCCAGUACAUAGUUGUAUAUUCUAGUUGUAG
ensembl:lncRNA